rnacentral:rRNA from 1 species
AACGAACGCUGGCGGCAGGCUUAACACAUGCAAGUCGAGCGCCCCGCAAGGGGAGCGGCAGACGGGUGAGUAACGCGUGGGAAUCUACCCUUCUCUACGGAACAACUCCGGGAAACUGGAGCUAAUACCGUAUACGCCCCUCGGGGGAAAGAUUUAUCGGAGAUGGAUGAGCCCGCGUUGGAUUAGCUGGUUGGUGGGGUAAUGGCCUACCAAGGCGACGAUCCAUAGCUGGUCUGAGAGGAUGAUCAGCCACACUGGGACUGAGACACGGCCCAGACUCCUACGGGAGGCAGCAGUGGGGAAUAUUGGACAAUGGGCGCAAGCCUGAUCCAGCCAUGCCGCGUGAGUGAUGAAGGCCUUAGGGUUGUAAAGCUCUUUCAGUGGGGACGAUAAUGUCGGUACCCACAGAAGAAGCCCCGGCUAACUUCGUGCCAGCAGCCGCAGUAAGAC